UCGAGAAUCAUUCGCAAUGGGCGAAAGCCUGACGCAGCAACGCCGCGUGCGGGAUGAAGGCUCUCGGGUUGUAAACCGCUUUCAGCAGGAACGAAAAUGACGGUACUUGCAGAAGAAGGUGCGGCCAACUAUGUGCCAGCAGCCGCGGUGAUACAUAGGCACCAAGCGUUGUCCGGAUUUACUGGGCGUAAAGGGCGCGUAGGCGGCAAUUCAAGUCAUCUGUGAAAUCUCCGGGCUUAACUCGGAACGGUCAGAUGAUACUGCUUUGCUAGAGUGCAGAAGGGGCAAUCGGAAUUCUUGGUGUAGCGGUGAAAUGCGUAGAUAUCAAGAGGAACACCUGAGGUGAAGACGGGUUGCUGGGCUGACACUGACGCUGAGGCGCGAAAGCCAGGGGAGCAAACGGGAUUAGAUACCCAAGUAGUCCCUGAGCGGGCUGGCAAGGCGCAU
rnacentral:rRNA from 1 species